CAUGCAAGUCGAACGGAAAGGCCCUUCGGGGUGCUCGAGUGGCGAACGGGUGAGUAACACGUGGGUGAUCUGCCCUGCACUUUGGGAUAAGCCUGGGAAACUGGGUCUAAUACCGAAUAUGACCGCGCACUUCAUGGUGUGUGGUGGAAAGCUUUUGCGGUGUGGGAUGGGCCCGCGGCCUAUCAGCUUGUUGGUGGGGUAAUGGCCUACCAAGGCGACGACGGGUAGCCGGCCUGAGAGGGUGACCGGCCACACUGGGACUGAGAUACGGCCCAGACUCCUACGGGAGGCAGCAGUGGGGAAUAUUGCACAAUGGGCGCAAGCCUGAUGCAGCGACGCCGCGUGAGGGAUGACGGCCUUCGGGUUGUAAACCUCUUUCAAUAGGGACGAAGCGUGAGUGACGGUACCUAUAGAAGAAGCACCGGCCAACUACGCGCCAGCAGCCGCGGUAAUACGUAGGGUGCGAGCGUUGUCCGGAAUUACUGGGCGUAAAGAGCUCGUAGGUGGUUUGUCGCGUUGUUCGUGAAAACUCACA
rnacentral:rRNA from 1 species